rnacentral:lncRNA from 1 species
AGUGCAAGAGCAGUGAUUCUGGGAUUCAGAUAUGCCAAAGAGAAGCCAUGAAGUGCAUCUUUUAAAUUAAAAGCCUACCUAUUCUCCCAGAGGGCAUGCAUUCUAUGGAGACAGAGCUGAAUGUGUGCCAUCAGAAGACCAAAAUCAAGCGACAUUUUAAAAAGAAAACAGACUCUUCUGGGAAAAAUGGUGACUCCACAAAGUAAGAAGCCACCAAGACUUGUAGGACAUUCCUUCAUCUUCUCCUGGAUGGGGCAACCCAGCCAUGGAUAUAUGCCUCCAAUCAGCAUAAAUGCCCAUUGCUUGAUAAAGUCAACACACGUGUAAGAUGACAUAUUGCAGGUAUCUGUCACAUCAAGCAAGGUUUGAAGAAGAAACAACUGGAGAAUUUUACUUAUGUGGAUGAAAAAGCAAACAGAAGUUAGUCCAGCAUGGAAGUCACAUGCUUUGGGAUUGUAGCAUUGUGUUCUCCUGUAGGAGGUGAUCCAUUGUCAUUUAUCGGAAUCCAUCUUCACUCAAAAGGA